rnacentral:lncRNA from 1 species
ACCGCCGUCAACGUCAACAGAGGGUGCAAAACACGCUGUUGCUCCAUGUGUGCCGCUUGCUUGCGCCAUUCCCCUCCCCGCCACGCCAGAGCAUUGGCUCGUAGUCCUGCAUCCCAGCAGAUGACUGCAAGGAUUUACCCCAGCUCCAGCCCCUUUGUGUAAUAACCUACUUUAUAACUUCUACUCUUCCACUGUGCCUCGGUAUUGGUAUGGAGCAGAAUCCAACUCAAACCAAACCGUUAUUUCAAGAGCACGCCUAGUAAGUUCCCCUGGUAGUUUAUAACUGUUAUUUUGCUAAUGGAAAGUUAAUCAUUGGCUUGAAACUGUGCAAAAAUGUUAAGGGAAAGAAUCACAAGAUCACAGGAAGAACUCUAAUAUGCUCUCAAGUAGGUCUCUCUUAUUUGCCUCUGCAGACUUCAGCUCUAAAUACCUCAGGGUGAAAUGUGUCUGAGCAUUUCAACACCUAGCAAAUAUUAACUACCUCAGAACAGAUUAGAACAACAAGGCUUGGAGGGUGCCUUUAUGCUGCAGCCUGUGAAGAUGAAAAGUCUCAAACCCGAGGUCUGUGGAAACUUUCACUUUUAAGUUCUGCCCUUCAUUUCUGUAAUUUUGUAAAAGACUAGCACUGGCACUGAAUAAUACUAACAGAAAAACACUUAGAACACGCAGGGACCUUAAAGUGCUUGACAAACAUUAUUUCAUUAAGCCUGUUGAUGCCCUUUCAAGGUAGUUAUGGCAUUGUAAUAGUCUUCCCACUUUUAGAAAUGGGAAAAUUAAGGAUUCUCACAGUGUAAUGCAGAGCCAACUGACUUGCGAUGUCAAUCAAUUUUCUGAAGAUCCUCUCAUCUCCACUGAACAGUUUGUGUGCGGUACAGAGGCGUCCAUCUGCAUUCUCUAGUUGGCUAAGCUAAGCAUACUGUUAGCCAAGCUGUUUGUAAAAAAAAAAAAAAAAAAAAAAAAAAAAAAAAAAAGUCUGCAUUCAAUAACGCUGAGCACUUUUCUUUCUGAACUCUCUUUUUGCUGCUCAAAAGCAACAUUGUGGUCACUGCCUACUGGAAGUAAGCUCGGUAAUCUGAAUGGCAACCACCAUUUCAGGAAGCCAAAAAGUUGCUGUGGUGCUGACCAAAGAGGUUGUUGUGUCUCAUAUGCCAUGAUUACCACCUCUGACCUGCCAGUGCAGAUCAGGUAGGUCCCUCUAAUCUCUUUCCACCUAAAGGAGC